rnacentral:rRNA from 1 species
CACGUAGGGGGCAAGCGUUGUCUGGAUUUAUUGGGCGUAAAGAGCUCGUAGGCGGCUUAGUAAGUCGGGUGUGAAACCUCCAGGCUCAACCUGGAGACGCCACCCGAUACUGCUGUGGCUAGAGUCCGGUAGGGGAGCGUGGAAUUCCUGGUGUAGCGGUGGAAUGCGCAGAUAUCAGGAGGAACACCGAUGGCGAAGGCAGAUCUCUGGGCCGUUACUGACGCUGAGGAGCGAAAGCGUGGGGAGCGAACAGG